rnacentral:misc_RNA from 1 species
CUCCACUCUACCGGGCCUGCCACAGGCACCCAGCGCGCGGUGCAACGCAGCCGCAGACACGCAUCACAGCAGUGCGCCGACCCAGUCAUCUGUGCACGGCCCCUGACCCAAACUCUACCCACCCACCCGCCUCGCAGGGUGGCACUCAGCCUCCCCAGCAGCAGGCAGUGCGAGGGCCGAGCGAGACGCGUUGGUAUCACGCUGACGCCUUGCCCAUCGCAUGGAUGGCGCAAGCACGCUCACGGUCGCGGGUCGCACCGGCGCCACGCCGUCCAGGGAUUGGCCGCCGGCAUCCGUGCCACUGCAUCGCACUGACCUCCCCACGUCCUAGGCACCCUGGCCCUGUCACCACCAGGGGUGGUUCGGCAGUGGCUGGGAUAGGGAGGGAGGGGGGAGGAGGCUGCUCGGCUUCCCCGCCCACAGUGGGAGCACUGAACCCUGCGAUAUCACGCAGUGAGAGAGGUGUGUCCGCCCUCCCGUUUUGAGGGAUGUCUUUCGCAUAUGCAAGCUCCCAUCUCCGAGUGAGCAACUGUGAGAGAGCAGCAGUAGCAGCAGCAGGGGACUCUCUGCGGCGGCGGCGGCUUUUGUUUUGCUUUUCGUGGUGCACUCCCACAAUGCACAGACACACGCAUGCCCUUAUUCUUACCCGCAUCCUUUUAUCUGGGAGCUCUCUGCGUACUUCACUUCUCGGCGUUUUAUGCGCCUUCGCGAGUGGGAUAG